rnacentral:rRNA from 1 species
AGUGAACGCUGGCGGUAGGCCUAACACAUGCAAGUCGAACGGCAGCACAGUAAGAGCUUGCUCUUACGGGUGGCGAGUGGCGGACGGGUGAGGAAUACAUCGGAAUCUACUUUUUCGUGGGGGAUAACGUAGGGAAACUUACGCUAACACCGCAUACGACCUACGGGUGAAAGCAGGGGAUCUCCGGACCUUGCGCGAUUGAAUGAGCCGAUGUCGGAUUAGCUAGUUGGCGGGGUAAAGGCCCACCAAGGCGACGAUCCGUAGCUGGUCUGAGAGGAUGAUCAGCCACACUGGAACUGAGACACGGUCCAGACUCCUACGGGAGGCAGCAGUGGGGAAUAUUGGACAAUGGGCGCAAGCCUGAUCCAGCCAUACCGCGUGGGUGAAGAAGGCCUUCGGGUUGUAAAGCCCUUUUGUUGGGAAAGAAAAGCAGCAGGUUAAUACCCCGCUGUUCUGACGGUACCCAAAGAAUAAGCACCGGCUAACUUCGUG